UCCAGGUACUCAACUGCAACAUACUCCCCUUGAGAAAGCUUAAAGAUGUUCUUCUUCCUGUCAAUGAUCUUCAACACUCCAUCAGAAUUCAUCUCCCCUAUAUCCCCUGGUGAAGCAAACAAAAUGGGUUCUUGUAGUACCCAGUGAAAACAGUCUUCCCUCUGAUGCAGACCUCCCCCCGUGAAGGAAUGCCAAGAGGAUCAUAACCCAUCUCUGGCACGGCUUCCAGCCGAAGAUCAACAUAUGCAGAAGGAACACCGACAGUUCCAACCAUGGUCAUCUCAUCAGGAAAAGAGAUAUGGAAUUGAACAACUGAUACCUGAAUACUUCCCAUGAGGUGCUCAUAUUGGAAUCAGGAGGUGGGAAGCCAUCCUUUGCGAGGAUACUUCGGUACACUGGACCGACCGAAGGUUUGAUGCAGUCUGUGUGACAACAACAUUAAACAAAGUGUUUUCUACUAUUGUUUAGCUUUUAUUUAUUAUUAUUUUUUUUUUACUCUUUGAUAUAAUUAAAUUAGAAUUCAAC